GGAAGGCGGCAGCUUACACAUGCAAGUCGAGCGCACUCUUCGGAGUGAGCGGCGGACGGGUUAGUAACGCGUGGGAACGUGCCCUUCUCUAAGGAAUAGCCACUGGAAACGGUGAGUAAUACCUUAUACGCCCUUCGGGGGAAAGAUUUAUCGGAGAAGGAUCGGCCCGCGUUAGAUUAGAUAGUUGGUGGGGUAAUGGCCUACCAAGUCUACGAUCUAUAGCUGGUUUUAGAGGAUGAUCAGCAACACUGGGACUGAGACACGGCCCAGACUCCUACGGGAGGCAGCAGUGGGGAAUCUUGGACAAUGGGCGCAAGCCUGAUCCAGCCAUGCCGCGUGAGUGAUGAAGGCCUUAGGGUCGUAAAGCUCUUUCGCCAGAGAUGAUAAUGACAGUAUCUGGUAAAGAAACCCCGGCUAACUCCGUGCCAGCAGCCGCGGUAAUACGGAGGGGGUUAGCGUUGUUCGGAAUUACUGGGCGUAAAGCGCACGUAGGCGGAUCAGAAAGUAUAGGGUGAAAUCCCAGGGCUCAACCCUGGAACUGCCUUGUAAACUCCUGGUCUUGAGUUCGAGAGAGGUGAGUGGAAUUCCGAGUGUAGAGGUGAAAUUCGUAGAUAUUCGGAGGAACACCAGUGGCGAAGGCGGCUCACUGGCUCGAUACUGACGCUGAGGUGCGAAAGUGUGGGGAGCAAACAGGAUUAGAUACCCUGGUA
rnacentral:rRNA from 1 species